CCUACGGGAGGCUGCAGUGAGGAAUAUUGGUCAAUGGACGGAAGUCUGAACCAGCCAUGCCGCGUGCAGGAAGACGGCCCUAUGAGUUGUAAACUGCUUUUGUACAAGGGUAAACCUGAAUACGUGUAUUCAGCUGAAAGUACUGUACGAAUAAGGAUCGGCUAACUCCGUGCCAGCAGCCGCGGGAAUACGGAGGAUCCAAGCGUUAUCCGGAUUUAUUGGGUUUAAAGGGUGCGUAGGGGGAUUGGUAAGUUAGAGGUGAAAUUUCCGGGCUUAACUCGGGAACUGCCUCUGAUACUGUUGAUCUAGAGAGUAGAUGCGGUAGGCGGAAUGUAUGGUGUAGCGGUGAAAUGCUUAGAGAUCAUACAGAACACCGAUUGCGAAGGCAGCUUACCAAUCUAUAUCUGACGUUGAGGCACGAAAGCGUGGGGAGCAAACAGGAUUAGAUACCCUUGUAGUC
rnacentral:rRNA from 1 species